ACGGCUCAGUAACACGUGGAUAACCUGCCCUUGGGUCUGGGAUAACCCCGGGAAACUGGGGAUAAUACCGGAUAACGCAUAUAUGCUGGAAUGCUUUAUGCGUAAAAUGGAUUCGUCUGCCCAAGGAUGGGUCUGCGGCCUAUCAGGUAGUAGUGGGUGUAAUGUACCUACUAGCCUACAACGGGUACGGGUUGUGAGAGCAAGAGCCCGGAGAUGGAUUCUGAGACAUGAAUCCAGGCCCUACGGGGUGCAGCAGGCGCGAAAACUUUACAAUGCGGGAAACCGUGAUAAGGGGACACCGAGUGCCAGCAUCAUAUGCUGGCUGUCCAGAUGUGUAAAAUACAUCUGUUAGCAAGGGCCGGGCAAGACCGGCGCCAGCCGCCGCGGUAACACCGGCGGCCCGAGUGGUGAUCGCGAUUAUUGGGUCUAAAGGGUCCGUAGCCGGUUUGGUCAGUCCUCCGGGAAAUCUGAUGGCUCAACCAUUAGGCUUUCGGGGGAUACUGCCAGGCUUGGAACCGGGAGAGGUAAGAGGUACUACAGGGGUAGGAGUGAAAUCUUGUGAUCCCUGUGAGACCACCUGUGGCGAAGGCGUCUUACCAGAACGGGUUCGACGGUGAGGGACGAAAGCUGGGGGCACGAACCGGAUUAGAUACCCGGGUAGUCCUGGCCGUAAACGAUGUGGACUCGGUGUUGGGAUGGCUCCGAGCUGCCCCAGUGCCGAAGGGAAGCUGUUAAGUCCACCGCCUGGGAAGUACGGUCGCAAGACUGAAACUUAAAGGAAUUGGCGGGGGAG
rnacentral:rRNA from 1 species